rnacentral:lncRNA from 1 species
CCACGUUGAAAACCAUAUAAUUUGAAAGCUAAGCUUCUCACCACUGAGGAUAAUUUUUUUUGUUUUGUUUUUUACUCUUCCAGAAUGUGACAAUUCAUUACAGUAAUCCUGUAAAGCUUAGGAACAUAUAUCUUCCAUUAAUUCGUUGACACUUGAUCCCUGAGAGAGAUGAUAGACUAGUCUGGUCCUCCAUUCUGUAUUUGUGGAGAAGCAGUGUUUAGC